rnacentral:tRNA from 1 species
UCCCGUGUGGCUCAGUUGGUAGAGCAUGGUGUUUGCAACGCCAGGGUUGUGGGUUUGAUUCCCAGGGGGG